UACAUGGGGUGCAACCGUUGCUCGGAAUUAUUGGGCGUAAAGCGCGCGUAGGCGGUUACUUAUGUCGGAUGUGAAAGCCCUCGGCUUAACUGAGGAAGUGCACCCGAAACUGAGUAGCUAGAGUACUAAAGAGGGUCGCGGAAUUCCUGGUGUAGCGGUGAAAUGCGCAGAUAUCAGGAAGAACACCUAUGGCGAAGGCAGCUCUCUGGGACGGUACUGAAGCUGAGACGCGAAAGCGUGGGGAGCGAACAGG
rnacentral:rRNA from 1 species